rnacentral:misc_RNA from 1 species
AAAGUGCGAUAAGUCAUGUGAAUUGCAGAUUGUGAAUCAUCGAAUCUUUGAACGCAAAUGGCGCUCGGAGGCCUUAGAUCCUCCGAGCAUGUCUGGCUGAGUGUCGGUUUCAUUGAUCUUUUCUACUUUUUUGUAGAAGGGGGGGAUUGGGAAUGCUCCACCUUCCAAGUGGGGACAGUCCUGAAGUGUCUUUGUAGCGCUCUUUCUCUCUUUAAGGAGGGUGAGGGGAAGGAAAAACGUGUGGUGUAUCACCGAUAUAACAACGCGUUUUUCUCUCUCUGCAAAGAGGGCGUGAAGUCAAUAACAAAUGUUAAAGAACCUAAAUGAUCGACAUCAGCUCAGGCAAGAUUACCCGCUGAACUUAA